rnacentral:rRNA from 1 species
GAUGAACGCUAGCUACAGGCUUAACACAUGCAAGUCGAGGGACCGGCACACGGGUGAGUAACACGUAUCCACCCUGCCCUUUACUCGGUGAUAGCCUUUCGAAAGAAAGAUUAAUACCCGAUAUAAAGGAUGGGGAUGCGUUCAAUUAGGUUGUUGGUGAGUUAACGGCUCACCAAGCCUUCGAUGGAUAGGGGUUCUGAGAGGAAGAUCCCCUACAUUGAAACUGAGACACGAUCCAGACUCCUAAGGGAGGCAGCAGUGAGGAAGAUUGGUAAGUGGGCGCGAGCCUGAACCAGCCAAGUAGCGUGAAGGAUGAACGGUUAUAGGUAGUAAACUUCUUUGAUAUAAGAAGAUGUAUUAGAUGAAUAAGGAUUGGCUAACUCCGUGCCAGCCGCCGCGGUAAUUC